UGGAGGCGCGCGAGCGCGAGGAGCUCGGCCUCGCGGUUGUGGCGCUCGACCUCGCGCUCCAUGGAGGAGAGCACCUCCUCGGCCUGGCGCGCGACCCAGCGGCUGAGGAGGCGCGACUCCCGCCUCUGCCUGCGCACCGCCGACGACUCGACCUCGCCGUAUUCACGCAGAGGACGCCCUGGAUGGUGGAUCCGAUGCAUUCCAUGGCCUGCCCUAUGGCGUCAAGGCGACAUGUUGCGCCGAGGUGGAGGCCGGGUUGAACGCCGUGUACCGGCGGUGCCGGAGCCUUGACCACUCCAUGGGACCGCUAGAGAUCCGCAUAGUGUCCCUCGACGCCGCGAUUACAACAUCACCAUGUCUGGCGCCUGCGCGCAAGAGGAGUUGUCCCUGUGGCAUCAUCUUUGGCUCCGCCACUCUGGUGCACUCUAUGGCACUAGAGGCGAGGAGCUCGCAGUUCGCCACGCCUGGCCAACCUUCUCACUGUGCCCCCCUCUCAUUGGUUUUUUCUCCCACCAGGCCACCACAACCUAGAUCCCAGUCCUCGGACAUGUUGUGGGGGUUGCUUUUUCGAUUUCUUUGCAAGAGCUUGGUGGUGUCUAUGAUGUUAGUUGGAUAUAGUUAGCAGAAGUGCAUAAUCAUAGCCUUCAGAUUUUAUAAAUUAUUCCUUAAUUUGCUGAAAGAAAGAUGAUGAUAAGCCUUUGUUAUAUAGACCAGAAUUGGUCAGUCCUUUGUUGAUAGUAGUUCGUCUAUUGAUUCAGGUGUAUUUUUCGUAUUUGUAUAUAUUAUGUUAGAUUGUAUCUCGCAGGUUAGAGAGAUGCCGAGGGGCUGUACCUCGCCAGCGAUUUGGACAAGCGGCUAUUGAUCUACUUCCCCUUCAUGCAAGUGGUCAAGCUACAUUUCGUGCUAUUCAAAGGCCCCAAGGAUGACGCAAUGGCAAUGACUAUCUACCAAUGGACAUCGUGGAGCUAUCUUCCGAUCAUUUGAUAGAGAAUAAGCCUUUGCUGCUAAAGGAUGUCAAGUUCCAAAACGUACACGGGUAUAUACAUUUCACAAUAUAUAUGUUUUUGUUACCCCAUUUAUGUUUCUUACCACAAUUUUUAUUUAAUGGUCUUUUGUUAUUAUUUCAUCCUGACUAUAAUCAUUGUGGACAAUCAAAGUUUCUUGUACCCUAUAUGUAUAGGGAAGUUCAGUGAAUUUUGAUACAGAUUCUUCAGUCUUGUUAUAGGCUUACCAGUGCUUAUUGACCUUUGUUUGUUCGGGACACUUCUUUUUAAGCUUGUUGUAGCUGAUGUCAUGUGCAUGUCACCCUAAACUUGCAACUUCUACAACAUUAUAGGAAAUGGCAAGAGCUUUUUGAUGUGCCCAUGAAAACCCAAAGUAUGUUAUGCUAAAGAAGACCAGAUUUUCGUUCAGACAUUCGCUGAGAUAUGUGGUGGCAAAUAAAAGUGUAUGAUGUCUGUGAUGUGAUGCGCCACGGAAAAAAGGCAGAAUAUAUGAUACUGUUAUUGUCUUAACUGUCUAAUCACCUUCCUAUUUUAGUAGUCAUGAUUUGGUACUUGGCUUACUAUUUUUUUUUGUUAUGCAGUGGAUGUGGCAAUACUAUUACUGUCAACAUGUUGCCAUUUUUGUCAUAUGGUCCAUGUGUGUCUCCUUUCGAAAAUUAGGACCCCAGUGCUCAUUAAUCAUAGCAACUUCUGUUUCUGAAUUUGUGUGAAAUUUGUUGGAUACUUAUAUUUAUUCUUUGCCAUUUUUGUAUGUGAUGUCUUUUUGUUCAAGCAGUUUUUUGUGCUUUAUAAUUUCAAAGUGUGCAAGAGUGUCCAGAAUGUCUUCACAUGGCCUCACUUUAUGAGAUACUACUGCUUUUAUGCAAUAUACUUUUGUUGUGUUGUGUGCCUGAUAAGUUGCACCAUAACAUUUCUUUAAGGACAAUGGUUCUGAUGAGGUUGUAUUCAAGGCCAUGGGGAGGGCUAUCAAUAAGACUAUCAUGGUUGUGGAAUUGAUCAAGAGGAGGAUUGUUGGCCUCCAUCAGAAUACCACCACUGGAUCUACUGAUAUUACUGAUAUGUGGGAGCCAUUGGAAGAAGGCCUACUUCUGCUUGAGACAACAAGACAUGUCUCUAUGAUCACUAUAACUCUUUCAAAGAAGGAGCUGGACACAUCAUCUAUCGGGUAUGCAUACUGCACUCUUUUGUUAACUGCAUUUAAUGACUUUCUUUGCCAGUUUGUCUUAACCAAAUUCUAUGGUUUUCUAUGCCAUGAACUCACAUCUCGCUGCGUCAAGUAAUCUAAUAAGAAACCAGUACUCCCUCUGUUUCUUUUUAUAAGGUAUAUAGUAAGAUUUGAGAAAUCUUUAGAAAUGUUCUUUGAUCAUCAAUGGCGCUUACAGUAUAUCAUCAAUUGCUUCAAAAUCAAUUUGCAUUAAAUUACAUGUGGAAUGUUGUUCUAUUGAUACAACUUUUAUACAUGCAUGUGUAUCAUUUGAGUAAUUGUUGGUCAAAAUCUAAGAAAUUUGUCUUGUUUGAAUCCUGAUAUGUCUAUAUUUCGAGAUGGAUUUCUUAGCUUGAUUUGAAUUCCUUGAUCCCUUCAUAUCUGACCAUUUUGGAACAUUUAGGUAUUGUGUUGCUGCCCUCUUCAUUCAUUCUUUGUCCUUGUAGUUGAAUUCUUUUCAAUCCAAUAGUCUGCUAGAUUUACAUAACGACAUGUUGUUCACUUUACCUAUAUAGUUUUUUAUUUCAUACAUGCAAGGUACUAAACAGCAGACUGUCAUUGUUAUACUUGCAGCUCCUAUAAUUAUGCUUGCUAUUACUAAUACCUUUCCUUGCUAUUUUGCAACAAGUCCACAACAGUUGCUCGUGUGUAUUUCCUCUGUCUCGGGUAAGCAGCAUAGCAGUAGAGUAGGUGUUCACUAGCAGUACAAAGUCCUCCAAGGUUUGGUUAGUGUCUAUUUUGAUCAUAUUGUAAUGUUUGUGAGGCGUGUGAAUUUUUUUUGUUACAUUAGCAACACAAGUAUGUGAUGUUGAACAAAAAAACUUAGACGAAUAGAUUGUGGGGCUUCUAGGUAGGGAUGUGGUUAGUGAAUUCGAUUAGCAGCACUUGUGUUAGUUAGGCUAAUAUCACAGAUUUUUUAGUAGUAUGUUAAUUGUGUGAUACAUCCAGCUAUUUGAAUAUGAUUUGACAUAUAUUGUAGUCACCCCUGUAAAUCGUUUUCUUUAUUCUUCCAAAGAAUCAAAGCCAAAAUCUGUGUUAUGCGUUCAUCUUGUUCUUUAGAUUUUCUUGCUUGUAGCCAUAAGUCAUGCUUCAUUUUUCGAAUGUACCUAGGCCGCUCAUUUUUGGUAGUUCAUAUUGACGCCAACUAAAAUUAGUGUUUAAGUAGUUCCAUUCAUGUUUCUUGUCCUUGCUGGUUCAUGUGUUGUAAACUAUAGAUGGUAAUGCAAGGUCUUCAACCUAUUUUAUCGGCUAUGGUUGAUUGCUAUAAUGCGUUUUGGUACAAGUUUGCAAUAGUUUUAUUCCACAGAAGUAUUCAGAUGUUGAGUGAGUAUAGCUUGUGGCCUAUCUUAUGAUCAUACUCAUGUGUACUUUAGUUUAUGAGAAGCCGCAAUGAUUUUUAAUGUCAUAAUGUUCUAGGCUCUUGUUUUUUGAGAUACAAUUAGUUCAUUGCACCUAACAUAUUUUGUUUUUAAGAAAGAAAUCUUCAUUUGAUGGUUUAGAUCCAUGUAAAGAGAGGAGCAUGCUUGUGGCUACACUUAUGGGUAUCAUCACUUCAUAUUGUGAUAAUGCAGACUACUCAUUGUUUUAGCCUUUACUGCCUGUAGAUGUUGAUACAAGAGACUGUGGUUGGUGCCCCCCUCUCACCAGAAGCCAUCUCAGCAGACACCAUGGACAUACAGUAAGAUGCUUUUAUCCUUGCUUUCUAUACUCGAUCUGUAGAAUUGAGGAAGUGGUGUCCUUGUUGAGGAAAAUAUGAAAGAAAGUGCAGCAAAAUUCUCCAGGGCAGCCCUAAUCGAUUGACUAGAAGGCAGUUUGUCAAGAAAAUUACACCGAGGAAGAAGAAAUAUACUUGAUGUAUGAACUUUGGGUCAGCUAUGUAUUCAGUUAUGUAUGAACUUUGGGUCAGUUAUGUAUUUAUCAUGUUUUAAUUUGUGAUGUUGAUUAAUAUUCUCUACAUAUUUAUCAUUGUUUAUUUUUUUAAUCAAUGACAAAGCACAUAUACAAUCUUA